rnacentral:rRNA from 1 species
GACGAACGCUGGCGGCGUGCUUAACACAUGCAAGUCGAACGGAAAGGCCUUGCUUUUGUGGGGUGCUCGAGUGGCGCACGGGUGAGUAACACGUGAGUAACCUGCCCUUGACUUUGGGAUAACUCCAGGAAACUGGGGCUAAUACCGGAUAGGAGCUCCUGCUGCCUGGUGGGGGUUGGAAAGUUGCGGCGGUUGGGGAUGGACUCGCGGCUUACCAGCUUGUUGGUGGGGUAGUGGCUUACCAAGGAUUCGACGGGUAGCCGGCCUGAGCGGGUGACCGGCCACAUGGGGACUGAGGUACGGCGCAGACGCCUACGGGGGGCAGCAGUGGGGAAUAUUGUACAGUGGGCGGAAGCCUGAUGCAGCAGCGCCGCGUGCGGGAUGACGGCCUUCGGGGUGUAAACCGCUUUCGCCUGUGACGAAGCGGGAGUGACGGUAAUGGGUAAAGAAGCACCGGCUAACUACGUG